AGGUAGUUAGGGACACGCUCAGCGCAAGAAAAGGUAUGGUAGGUUACACACCAUGCAGAGCGGGCAGGGGCUGCCCACACCUCAGCAGAGGUGUCUUUUUUCCCUUUUUGAAAUUUUGUAUUAUUUUUUUUAAUUCUAUCAGAAAACAUUGAAUGCCAAGACAUCAACAUCAAACACAUAAAAGUUUGAUUGUGGAGGUCAGCCUUUAAUAACGGUUGAAAGGUUGGCAGCGAGAGAUUAGACUGAAGUCUCCCUUUAUGAAAGCUUUUCGUAAGACAACGGACGACGCAAAUAUUCACAUGAAAGUGCUUCUUUACUCUCCCACCCCCGUCUGCCCAUCAACCGACUCCAUUCUUCAACUUGACACCAUCCUUCCACACAGAGGAGGAGAGGAGAGGUGGGGAGGAGAAACAAAACAGACAGAGAGAAAGAGGAGCAAGCGCCGAGAGGAGGCGGGCAGCACAGUUUCAGCUCUCACAAGGCUGAGGGGGGGGAGAUGGCGAUGGCAGUUAGAACUUGGCCACUAGUGAGAUGAGAUCCAGGGAGGAGACACUGGAGCGCUGCAGGGUACGACAUCCAACGAGAAAUUUGGAGCGCCUGGCAGACGAGUCAGCCCUCACUGGAUCCCCAGCUCCUCCACAGCCCGAAGGAUGACAGGGGUCGACUUUCACCUUAGUUGCCAGGGAUGUCUGUGCACUACAGAGAGGCGUCCCCCUCCAGCAUGUCCAAUGCUAUGCUACUCCUGAUGCUUUGCAAGAUUAGUCUGAGACGAAAACUGCAGACUUUUUCCAGGGAAAAUGGUAAACACUGUCUACAGUGAUGAGGAAAAGGGAAUCCAAGACAAGGAAAGUAAGGAGGAGAGCAUCCUGGCCAUGUUGGGCAUCAUUGGGACCAUCCUCAACUUGGUAGUCAUCAUCUUUGUCUACAUCUACACCACCUUGUAGGUUUUCGAUCUCCCACUGUGCUUCAUCGGCAGGUAGAUCCGAGCUCAUCUGCGUUGUUGCCGCAGCAUCGGCAUGUUGACUGAUGUGGGAUUGAAGAAGGGCGGUGGAAGGAUGAGGCCUUUCUUCCCAAGUGGUGAACUGGAUCUAAGACUGUGUGAUCACCAUCUGGAAUCAGCCCUGCAUCACUUUGGACAACUUAGACAAUGGGACACUGGCCCGUUCCUCUUCCUUUUACAGGUAGAAUUAUCCAGAAUAUCUGACACCUUUGACUUGUACAUAAAUGCAUGAAGCCAAUGCGAGAUGAUGAACGAACGAUGCAGCUUUUACCUCGACAUAAAAGACUGCAGAGAGGUGAGGAGUGAAUACUUGUAGAUACUAUUUUUCAGAGGUACUUAUCAAAUGAAACAUGGAGAUCCAUUGCUGAUUGGGAUUAAAGAUGAAGAUGUAUGGAGAACGUAAACACAGGUUUUCCAACUGUUGUUUUUUUAUUUCUUCUCAAAGAUUCUCUCAGAAAACUGCGGCUUACAUCCAGUUACAUACCAUUUAAAUAUAAAAGUUAUCAUAUAAGCAUUAGUCAGCUUGAUUUAUUGUUUGUUUUUUUAAUUUCCUGGAAGAUCUGACUUUUUUUUCAAUCUAUUUGAAGAAAGGGAGUUAAAUUCACACAUUUGUCAGAUGUGUAAUGUAGUGCGGGCAUUACGUCAGUUGAAAGUGCUAAAAUGCACAAAUGGAUGCACUUGACUUUGUGCUUGAAUCGAGUAGAUUUUGUACAAAAUGGCUUGAUUAUAGUCUAUUAUUCAUUUUUGAAUGCAUCACGUUAGCCUUCAAGGGUCAUCAGCACUGAAAUAAGAUGCAUCCACGUGUGAGGAAAGGAUUUUAAACAUUUUGUCAAAGUUCAGCAUCUGAGAGAUCUGAGAAACAGAAAAACAUAUUACUCAUUGCUUCAGUUAGCUACAGUUAUUUAAAGCAUAUGCAUGACUAUAUCAACACACACACAAACACAAACACACACACACACACACACUUACAUGGGACAUAAGUUUAGCAUCCUGAACCGGUACAUACUGUAGGGUUUACCGAACUUGAGAGCUUAAGGUCGUUUGCAUUUUUCAGCCAUUGAUCUCAGCUUGUGCAUCACUUAUUCUUAGACUUGUGCACAAUAACGGUUUGCCUUAAGACAUGAGGAAAUGGCUAUUUCCACAAUGUAUAAAAUGAUCAGGUUAUUACUACUUUGUCAAAAGAUAUCACUUAUUGUAUAUACAUGUAAUUCAAUACCAAUGCCCUAUUGUUUUUAUUGAUGAAAAGUCGUUGGUAAUUUUAUAAGCGUCCACCCUGCUCUCGUCUUACUCAACAUGCAAACCCAUUGAGUUUUUAAAUUGAGUGGAUUAAACCGAUUUAAAUGAGUUAUUUCCAGACCUGGGCCAACUCAUUUGUUGUUCUUUUCUGUGGUGUCAGAUGGUCAAAGACAACACUGGACAAUAAUGUGAAUGUCGUGAAAAAGACAUAGUCAGUUGAAUUUUUAGGGUAACUUUUGGUAUCAUGUCUUGGUACUAUAUCUGUGAUUGACUGGACUGACACUGUGUCAUUUGUCCUCGAUUUCUUACACCCCAUUCAUCUGGGAGCCGAAGUAGGUUUGACCAUCCUAAUUUUUUCCAAUGGCCCAGGACUGGAAAUAGGGCAACAUUUUUGUAUUCGACGAUAACUCAAAAAAAUUGUCGAAAACUAUUUCUGCAUUCAUUUGUGGACUAAUAUCUGGACUCAUAUACACUAAUUCCCCUUUUACAAAUUACACAAGGUCUUGUGACAGUUUGAACUGAGCUGCACUUCCUGUUUUUAAUAACUUCACGUGAAGGAGUUGUGCAAAAUGAUUUACCUGUACCUGCUCUCAGUUAGUUGUCAUUUGCAUCAAAGUUCAACAUUUUGGGAAAAGAUUGAAUUAAAGGUAUGAAGUGAAUAAGCAAUUUUAUUUGAAAAGUUGAACUAAUCUGUUUAAGAAAGAAGCCAAGUGAAAGAUGAGAAAAGACUUUAAAUAAGGAUGUGCAGUAUGCAGAGAAUGUAAUGCUAUAGACAACAGACUACAUUAUGUUUAUAGAAUAUGACGUUUGUGUUUGUCAGUCCACAACCUCAUGAUUUCAGAAAGUGCCUGAGAUCCAAGUGUCUCAACCUCACCAGUCGUGAAGUGAAAGGACAGAAAACACAAACCAGUGCGAGUGUCUUUGUGAGGCCGCCUGUCACGUGACCAGGAGAGUGAGAGGGGUUUGCAGGAGAACACGUGUCCCGAUCCAUUCCGCUAUAUUCAUAAAAAGACUGGGUUUUUUCACAUGGCUUAGUCAAUAUGAAGUCAGCCCUUGUUUUGUUUUGGUGUGGUGCUCGUACUUGUCUUGAAGGAAAAAGGAAAAUGAAAGCCUAGUAAGCACACGGACAAGUCCUAUGAAUGUAUUCACAUGUAAAAGUUGAUUAUUCCUGUUAACCCUAUUGUUUGCUCAUGUUUCCUGAAGCUAUAUUAUCUGAACUCUUCUUAUGUUUUAUGUAUGUGUAUGCUAAACCUAUUUAAACUCAUUGAAUAAUCACUCGUGGUUGACAAAUGGAAGGUUUAAAGUUUUUCAGCUUGCAGUUUUGUUACAAAACAUUAAAUAAACAUGUCUUAAAAACGAA